GUGGGGAAUAUUGGACAAUGGGCGCAAGCCUGAUCCAGCCAUGCCGCGUGAGUGAUGAAGGCCCUAGGGUUGUAAAGCUCUUUCACCGAUGAAGAUAAUGACGGUAGUUGGAGAAGAAGCCCCGGCUAACUUCGUGCCAGCAGCCGCGGUAAUACGAAGGGGGCUAGCGUUGUGCGGAAUUACUGGGCGUAAAGCGCACGUAGGCGGAUAUUUAAGUCAGGGGUGAAAUCCCAGAGCUCAACUCUGGAACUGCCUUUGAUACUGGGUAACUCGAGUAUGGAAGUGGUGGGUGGAAUUCCGAGUGUAGAGGUGAAAUUCGUAGAUAUUCGGAGGAACACCAGUGGCGAAGGCGGCUCACUGGAUCGAUACUGACGCUGAGGUGCGAAAGCGUGGGGAGCAAACAGGAUUAGAUACCCGGGUAGUCC
rnacentral:rRNA from 1 species